rnacentral:rRNA from 1 species
CGGUGGAGUAUGUGGCUUAAUUCGAUGCAACGCGAAGAACCUUACCAGGCCUUGACAUGCAUUUCUAAGCGGGUGAAAGCCUGGCCCGGAACUGACAGGUGUGACGAGCGCAACCCCUGUGAACUGUUGCCACCUCGGGACGUCAAGUAGUAUGGCCCUUACGGCCUGGCUGCAUACAUGCCCAGUACAAACGAUCCGAGACCGCGAGGUGGAGGAUCUAGUAAAACUGGGCCCAGUUCGGAUUGGAGUGCAACUCGACUCCAUGAAGCCGGAAUCGCUAGUAAUGGGCAUCAGCUACGGCGCCGUGAAUACGUUCCCGGGCCUUGUACACGCCGCCGUCACAUCAUGGAAGUCACUUGUAGCCGAAGCCGGCGCGCUAACCCAGCAAUGGGAGGCAGCCGCCUACGUAUGAGCGGUAACUGGGAUGAAGUCGUACAAGGU